GCCGGGGUAGCGCAGCGGUAGCGCGCCCGAUCGAAGGGGAUGGUCAACUCGAUCGGGUCGCUCCCGAUCGUGCCCUGCCGACAACGGAGGAGGUCGCAGGUUCGAAUCCUGCCCCCGGCC
rnacentral:tRNA from 1 species